rnacentral:rRNA from 1 species
AUGAAAGCUCUCUUCUGGAAUAUUCGGGGUUUCGGUGCUAGGGGGCGCCGUGACCAGAUUCAUGACUUGGUUUGUGGUGAACAUAUUGACAUUUUAGGAUUGGUCGAAACGUUUAAGGAAUCCUUUUCCCCUUCUGAACUCUCUGCGCUAGCUGGGAUGGAUAGGUUUGAUUGGCACUUUCUCCCUGCUUCGGGUCAUUCUGGGGGUAUCUUGAUUGGGUCCAAGCAGGACGUGUUUGAUUUCAUUGCUUUUGAUCAUGGCAUCUUUUGGGCUAGCUGUGUGGUUCAUCAUUGUCAGCUGAACAUUUUGUGGGAAUUUAUGGUGGUAUACGGCCCCGCGGAUCACACACUUGCUCCUCUUUUCUUGGAUGAACUUUCGAUUAAGAUUGAAACCUGUAAUAUUCCUCUUUUAAUUGGGAGUGAUUUCAAUUUGUUACGUUCUCCGGCUGACAAGAACAGUCCUAAUUUCUCUUGGCCUCUUGCCAAUGCUUUUAAUGAUUUAAUUAGUAAUUGCACGCUUCGUGAGCUCCCUAGGGUGGGGGCGCGGUUCACUUGGUCUAACCAUCAUUCCUCACCUGUCCGGUCGGUGCUGGAUAGGGUGUUUGUGUCUGAUCGGUGGGAUUCGCUGUUCCCCCGCGCGCUGCUUAAGGCCAGGCCUGCGGUGGGCUCUGACCAUGUUCCCCUGGUCCUGGAUGCGGGUAUCCUUUCCUUCGUUUCUCCCUCCCGUUUCCAGUUUGAUGCUUCUUGGCUUGUUGUUGAGGGUUUUUGUGAGAUGAUGGGUUCUAAGAUCUCCAAUCUUCUUUCUUCUCCUCAUCGCUCCUUUGGUCCCAUGGAUGAUUGGCACAAGCUGUCUUAUGAGCUUCGUAAAUUCUUGAGGGGGUGGUCUCGGAAUAGGGCGGCUGAGCUUCGUAGAGACAAAGACUCCCUUGAAUCUCAAAUCCGGGAUUUGGAUCAAGUUGCUGACACAUCUGGGCUCUCCGCCUCUCAGUGGGCUACUCGGUACUCCCUGGAAGACGCUUUGUUGCUGCUUCACCAACAGUCAGAAAUUUACUGGCGCCAACGAGGUGCCCUCAAUUGGACCUUGAAGGGUGAUGCUAUGACGGCAUAUUUCUUUGCGGUCGCGAAUGGCAGACGCCGCAGAUGUUUCAUUGACACUCUGUUGAUUGACAGCGUCAGAAUUUCGGACCAGUCCCUCAUCAUGAAUCACAUUGUUAGCUUCUAUUCCAAUCUACUCGGCUCUAAGCCGGAUCCUGGGCUUGACCUCUGCUCUGGAUUCUGGGAUGAGGGUUCUAAAAUUUCUCCGGGCGAAAAUUUGGGCAUGAUGGUCCCCUUAUCUGACGAAGAGAUCUGGCAGGUGAUUAGCUCGGCUAACCCGAAUGCUGCUUCUGGCCCUGAUGGUUUUUCUAUCCCCUUCUUUAAAAAAAAUUGGCCGCAGUUGCAGGUUCUCAUUUGUAAAAUUAUCCAAGGGUUCUGGUUGGGUACGGUGGAUAUCUCUCGCCUUAACUACGCUGUCAUUACCCUUAUUCCUAAAGUCAAGGGCGCGGACUUGAUCUCACAAUUUAGUCCGAUUGCCCUUAUUAAUAACUUCGCCAAGUUUCCGGCCAAAGGGUUAGCCACUCGCCUCUCCCCCAUUGCCCACCGUACCAUCGGCCCUUUUCAGUCGGCUUUCAUUAAGGGUCGUUUCAUUCUGGACGGGAUUCUUUGCUUGCAUGAAAUCGUUCACGACCUUAAGAUUCGCAAGUCGAACGCGGUGAUUCCUAGACUUUGA